CGCGUAGGCGGAAUAGUAAGUGUCUUGUGAAAUCCCUCGGCUUAACCGAGGAAUUGCUUGGCAAACUACUAUUCUUGAGACAAGUAGGGGUGCAUGGAACUCUUGGUGGAGCGGUGGAAUGCGUAGAUAUCAAGAGGAACGCCUGUGGAGAAAUCGGUGCACUGGGCUUGUUCUGACGCUGAGGUGCGAAAGCGUGGGUAGCGAACAGGAUUAGAUACCCUGGUAGUCC
rnacentral:rRNA from 1 species